CAAUACUUAAUUAAAAACGAAAGCGGUGAUGAAGGGCCCUCGCACCCCUGUGCAUGUCGGGGUGUGUCGCGGCCGCGGGAGUGCAGCAGCAGCGGAACAUGGCUAAGCAGCAGGCCGUGCAGUCCGAUUUGUGUAAAAGUCGUACUAUGGUAUGCUGAAAUAGGCAACGUAAUGAAGAUCACAGAAACUUUUGACGUAGAGCAGUUCAGGCUGGCACUGUCAUGAUAGCUAUGAAAUAUGGAGCAAAUUGAGCAUUGUGUUGUACUUAUUCCUUGCAGUAGGAGGCGCUAUGGUUAAAGUUGACUAUUGUUAUGUCAGUGUGUUCAGAGGCCAAACCUGAUCAUACAUGUGUAAUUUGAAGUAGAUCAGACAAAGUAUAUAGGAUGUAGUACUUACUCCUUACAGGAGGGUGCGCUAUGGUUAAAGUUGACUAUUGUUAUGUCAGUGUGUUCAGAGCAGUGGGCGCGCACUGUAGCUGUUCACACUCAAUGUUCUUGAAGCCAAAAUACACCACUUAGAGGCGCUUCCAUCUUGUGAUUUUGACGUCAUUUGGAGCCAGAGUCUGCGUAGGGCAGGAGCCCUGGUAACACGCCCCGCCCAUGUAGCGUACUGCCCUGAUGACUUACGCAGCCCAGCUACGCCGAAAGCGCUCUGCCGGUCUACGAGGCUUAUUAUGAAGAAAUGUGUAAGUACAACCAACCACCGUAUUCAAAGUCUAAUAUUUAAACACACUGUGUUUUAAAAAAUCCCGCUAUUUUAAUCAUUAUUGAAAAUACGUGGGCUGCUGGGUCCUCUGUUUUUGCCGAAAUUGUUCUAUAUUUAAGCUAGUUUAGCACCACAGACCGUAGACUACAGGUGGCAAGAUAUGUUGUAUUUUGUUAGAAACUGAUAGUCUGCAAUGUGAUUCAUGUCUGCUUUUCUAAUAUAUUUAAAUGAACAGUAAAUCAAUUGUUUUUUUGUGUUUUCAUUUAGGCAAAGAAGAGAUAAAGAGCAGAUGGUCUGACAUCUUCCACAGAGGUGAAGUUGGUCAGGCUGGGGUCGCUUAGUUUGAAGGAACCUCCUCCUUCUUUCACCUGUGCUUGGACUAAGAGCUGUGCCAGAUGCCCUGCUCAUCCACUGUGGUAGAAAUGACCUUACACCAGCAGCUCUCCCAGAUGAAGAGUCCUCUCUGCCAUCACCCAGAGGAGCUGAUUGACAUCUGUACAACUGAAGAAGAUGGACAGAGUCUGGUCAUGGUCUCCCUUACUUAUUUUCCACAUGGUUAAUGAAGCCAGGGGUUGUUUAUUGAAGUUUUUUUUUCAUAAAAUGUUUAAAUAAACUUUUUUUAAAAUCUGAA